rnacentral:rRNA from 1 species
CUACGGGAUGCACCAGUGAGGAAUAUUGCACAAUGGGGGGAACCCUGAUGCAGCAACGCCGCGUGGAGGAUGACGCAUUUCGGUGUGUAAACUCCUUUUAUAUGUCAAGAAAAUGACGGUAGCAUAUGAAUAAGCACCGGCUAACUCCGUGCCAGCAGCCGCGGUAAUACGGAGGGUGCAAGCGUUACUCGGAAUCACUGGCGUAAAGGACGCGUAGGCGGGUUGGAAAGUCAGGUGUGAAAUCCUACAGCUUAACUGUAGAACUGCGCUUGAAACUUCUAAUCUAGAGUAUGGGAGGGGGAGAUGGAAUUAGUGGUGUAGGGGUAAAAUCCGUAGAUAUCACUAGGAAUACCUAAAGCGAAGGCGAUCUCCUGGAACAUUACUGACGCUAAGGCGUGAAAGCGUGGGGAGCAAACAGGAUUAGAUACCCGGGUAGUC